AUUGAACGCUGGCGGCAGGCCUAACACAUGCAAGUCGAACGCGUGGCGGACGGGUGAGUAAUGUCUGGGAAACUGCCUGAUGGAGGGGGAUAACUACGGGAAACGGUAGCUAAUACCGCAUACCAUCGGAUGUGCCCAGAUGGGAGUAGCUAGUAGGUGGGGUAAAGGCUCACCUAGGCGACGAUCCAUAGCUGGUCUGAGAGGAUGACCAGCCACACGGGAACUGAGACACGGCCCAGACUCCUACGGGAGGCAGCAGUGGGGAAUAGUGGACAAUGGGCGAAAGCCUGAUGCAGCCAUGCCGCGUGUAUGAAGAAGGCCUUCGGGUUGUAAAGUACUUUCGGCGGGGAGGCGUUACCCGCAGAAGAAGCACCGGCUAACUCCGUGCCAGCAGCCGCGGUAAUAC
rnacentral:rRNA from 1 species